GAACACCUUAGCCUUGCCGCCACCAAACUUCAUUCACCGGCGCCAAAUCCGGUGAUAAUUUUUACACCAUUCUCUUCCUCUCUUCACGGGCUUUCUAUUGAUAUAUGUUUCAAGACUUAUCAUCAAGUAUGCGCGAUGAAUCAAAGGAGAGAAGAUUGAGUGAUUUUCCGGAGAAUUUGGAGAAACCCUAAGGUAAUCCGGUUGAGCAAGCUUCUGAAGACAUUCCCGAGACGGGACUCACUUAGUCACCCUUCAUUGGCUCUUUGGAUUUCCGUUUUGCCCAGGUAGUAGAUUUCGCAGAGGUCAGACCGCACUACGUUGAGGCAUUCUCCUUAUCCACCGUCAUCCAUCUUGACUUGUAGGAUUUGUUUCCUUUCGUACUUUUAUAUUUCUU